rnacentral:rRNA from 1 species
UACGUAGGGGGCAAGCGUUGUCCGGAAUCAUUGGGCGUAAAGCGCGUGUAGGCGGCCCGAUAAGUCCGCUGUGAAAGUCCAGGGCUCAACCCUGGGAUGCCGGUGGAUACUGUCGGGCUCGAGUCCGGAAGAGGCGAGUGGAAUUCCGGGUGUAGUGGUGAAAUGCGCAGAUAUCAGGAGGAACACCAAUUGCGAAGGCAGCUCGCUGGGACGUGACUGACGCUGAGACGCGAAAGCGUGGGGAGCGAACAGG